CGGGGGGCCUACCAUGCAAGUCGAGCGAGCUCUUCGGAGCUAGCGGCGGACGGGUUAGUAACGCGUGGGAACGUGCCCUUCACUGCGGAAUAGCCACUGGAAACGGUGAGUAAUACCGCAUACGCCCUUCGGGGGAAAGAUUUAUCGGUGAAGGAUCGGCCCGCGUUAGAUUAGAUAGUUGGUGGGGUAACGGCCUACCAAGUCUACGAUCUAUAGCUGGUUUUAGAGGAUGAUCAGCAACACUGGGACUGAGACACGGCCCAGACUCCUACGGGAGGCAGCAGUGGGGAAUCUUGGACAAUGGGCGCAAGCCUGAUCCAGCCAUGCCGCGUGAGUGAUGAAGGCCUUAGGGUCGUAAAGCUCUUUCGCCAGAGAUGAUAAUGACAGUAUCUGGUAAAGAAACCCCGGCUAACUCCGUGCCAGCAGCCGCGGUAAUACGGAGGGGGUUAGCGUUGUUCGGAAUUACUGGGCGUAAAGCGCACGUAGGCGGAUCAGAAAGUUGGGGGUGAAAUCCCGGGGCUCAACCCCGGAACUGCCUCCAAAACUCCUGGUCUUGAGUUCGAGAGAGGUGAGUGGAAUUCCGAGUGUAGAGGUGAAAUUCGUAGAUAUUCGGAGGAACACCAGUGGCGAAGGCGGCUCACUGGCUCGAUACUGACGCUGAGGUGCGAAAGUGUGGGGAGCAAACAGGAUUAGAUACCCUGGUAG
rnacentral:rRNA from 1 species